UGCAAAUAUAGGAUUUAUCUGCGGUUGAAACAGACCGUCCAUGAAUGCAGUUUCUUCGUGUCCUUAAGGUGAUCCAGACAGGCUGGACCAAAGGAGGAGAGACAUAUCUGGACUCCUAGCAGCAGAGAACUUCAGCACGGAUUCCAAGGAAAGGACAUGCCUGAGAGACAGGACUGCUUCACCAUGUUCUCUUUC